CCGACGGUGAGGGAUGAAAGCUGGGGGAGCAAACCGGAUUAGAUACCCGGGUAGUCCCAGCUGUAAACGAUGCAAACUCGAUGAUGCGUUGGCUUGUUGCUAGCGCAGUGUCGCAGGGAAGCCGUUAAGUUUGCCGCCUGGGAAGUACGUACGCAAGUAUGAAACUUAAAGGAAUUGGCGGGGGAGCACCACAAGGGGUGAAGCCUGCGGUUCAAUUGGAGUCAACGCCAGAAAUCUUACCCGGAGAGACAGCAGAAUGAAGGUCAAGCUGAAGACUUUACCAGACAAGCUGAGAGGUGGUGCAUGGCCGUCGCCAGCUCGUGCCGUGAGAUGUCCUGUUAAGUCAGGUAACGAGCGAGAUCCCUGCCUCUAGUUGCCACCAUUACUCUCAGGAGUAGUGGGGCGAAUUAGCGGGACCGCCGCAGUUAAUGCGGAGGAAGGAAGGGGCCACGGCAGGUCAGUAUGCCCCGAAACUCUGGGGCCACACGCGGGCUGCAAUGGUAACGACAAUUGGUUUCAAAUCCGAAAGGAUGAGGUAAUCCUCAAACGUUACCACAGUUAUGACUGAGGGCUGCAACUCGCCCUCACGAAUAUGGAAUCCCUAGUAACUGCGUGUCAUUAUCGCGCGGUGAAUACGUCCCUGCUCCUUGCACUCACCGCCCAA
rnacentral:rRNA from 1 species